UACGGAGGGUGCAAGCAUUAAUCGGAUUUAUUGGGCGUAAAGGGCGCGUAGGCGGGCAGAUAAGUCAGAUGUGAAAUCCCGGGGCUCAACCCCGGAACAGCAUUUGAAACUAUCAGUCUUGAGGGUAGGCGGAGAAAAUGGAAUUCCACAAGUAGCGGUGAAAUGCGUAGAUAUGUGGAAGAACACCAGUGGCGAAGGCGGUUUUCUAGCUUAUUCCUGACGCUGAGGCGCGAAAGCAAGGGGAUCAAACAGG
rnacentral:rRNA from 1 species